rnacentral:rRNA from 1 species
AUUGAACGCUGGCGGCAGGCUUAACACAUGCAAGUCGAGCGAGAGGCGGACGGGUGAGUAAUGUCUGGGAAACUGCCUGAUGGAGGGGGAUAACUACUGGAAACGGUGGCUAAUACCGCAUACCAUCAGAUGUGCCCAGAUUGGAUUAACUAGUAGGGGGGGUAAAGGCUCACCUAGGCGACGAUCCCUAGCUGGGGUGAGAGGAUGACCCGCAAGACGAGAACGGAGACACGGUCCAGACUCCGACGUGAGGCAGCAGUGGGGAAUAGUGUACAAUGGGCGCAAGCCUGAUGCAGCCAUGCCGCGUGUGUGAAGAAGGCCUUCGGGUUGUAAAGCACUUUCAGCGAGGAGGCGUUACUCGCAGAAGAAGCACCGGCUAACUCCGUGCCAGCAGCCGCGGUAAUUC